AGGUUUACGCAGUGGCAGUAUCGUAGCCAAUGAGGUUUUUCUGAGGUGUGAUUAUUGCUAAUUGAAAACUUUUCCCAAUACCCCGCCGUGACGACUUGAAAUAUAGUCGGCAUUGGCAAUUUUUGGCAGCUUCUACGGGGA
ensembl:snRNA U4 U4 spliceosomal RNA